GCAGCAUCAUGAUGUGAAGCACGGUGGUGGCAGCAUCAUGAUGUGAAGCAUGGUGGUGGCAGUAUUAUGAUGUGAAGCAUGGUGGUGGCAGCAUCAUGACGUGAAGCACGGUGGUGGCAGCAUCAUGAUGUUCCUCAGCAGCAGGUCCUGGAAGGCUUUUAAAGGUAGAGGGUAAAUGAAAUCCUGGAGGACAACCUGAAGAUGAGACGUGGAGAAGAUCAGUUUUCCAGGUUUCUUUAGAUGUUCCUUGGUGAAUCUUCAGCUGGUUCUUUGAAAUGUUUCAUUUCUUCAGUCUUGUGGAGGUGCAGAUGUCUGAUGGGAGCAAAUGUUUGUUUUCAGGAUGAGUUUCUGGUUCCUGCUGGUGGUUCUUCCUCAGAGAUGACAUCCUGAUGCAUGGUACCUGCUGUGAGGUAGCAGGGAUAGCUAACCAAUGGUGAUCCAGCACUGCUACCAGGAGUAUCCAGACAGACGUGGAAUAAAUGGAACAGGAAGCGGCAGCGUCCUGCUUCCUGUUGGGAGAAGUGACAGCCCGUCUAAUUGGGAUUAAUCAACUGGCAGCUCGGCUGAGGAGGAACGGCAUUGACCCAGAGAGAGAGGUGUGUUCUGCCCCGGGCCGCCGCCAUUCAUCUCCUCCAUCAUUAUUCCACCACAGAAGAAGAACAAGGAGCUGCUUUAGGAUUCCUGGGUCAAGAACGAGAAGAGAAACCGAACUAAUCAAAAAGGAAAGGAAAAGAGCAGCACAUGACAGUUUUCCAGCGAGCAGCAGCAGCAGCGCCGCUACAUUAUUCUUUUUUAUUCUUCCUCUCGCAGCGUCGCUUUGAAUUACAGACGAACGUUUCUACUGAGAGCCGGCGUCGCUGAGGAAAAAAUCAAAAAUUCAUCUAAGAGACUUUCAGGAAGGGAAAGAGGCGAGGAGGAGGAGGAAGAAGAGGAAGGCUUCGGCUGGAACCAACAUUUGCAGAAAGUUCCAGCUCCUUAAGCAAUUAUUAGCGGUGAUAGUUUGACAUGUUCAAGAGUUGUCAACAACUGGCUUUAAACUAAAGUACAAAGCAGAAAUAAACAGAGCCGGCAGUGGAAUUAACUUGAGGGAUGUGAGGAGGCCAUGAAUUAAACAUGAGCAGCUCCUUCUACUUCUUCUUCUUCUUCUUCUGCACAGAUCCAGACAUCAGGAGGAGGAACGCUGUAAAAACCGACGGGUUCUGGUGUCGGUCGGCUUCAGGACGGAGGAGAGACGAAGAGAAAUGAUCAGAAUUACAAUCACUUUAAUUAGUAUCACAGCAGCUAGAGAAGUUAAAACUGAAAUCUAAACACAUCUAAAGAUGGUUUGGUUGUUUUUUAAACCUCUGAGUAACAUCACUUAAAUGUCUAAUUAAUCUGUAUUCUAUCAUCUCUUGAAUAAGUUCAGAAUUUCUGAGAAUUUUUCCUUCAAAUUUUAUGAAAGGACAUAUUUAAAAUCCCGGCUGUAAAGUAGAAACUGAACAGCUGUGAUUCCAGUCAGUCUAACUGAUGAACAUGGUUCUAAAUGAGCUGAACAGCAGAACGUUCUCAGUCCUGGACCUAUGGACUGGGUCUAUCUAUGUCUGCAUCAUGGCUCCACAUUGACAUCUGAAAAGUGAGACAUUCAAAAUUAACAAAGAAUUUGUGCAAAAUGACUCAAAAAUAAGUAAAAAUGAUCCAGAAUGAUUCAACAUGUGACCAAGUGACUUAAAAUCCAUCCAAAAUGACUCGAUAUCUGUCUGCAUCAUGGCUCCACAGGGAGAAGAACUGAACAGAGGAAGACAAAAAUUUGAUGUUUAAAAUUGCUCAAAAUUAGUCUAAAAUGAUGUUAGAUAUGUACAAGACUCCGACAUUUUUCAUAUUUGCUCAAAAUUUGUCCAAAUCGAGUCAAAACUUGUCAAAAACCACUGAAACUUUCAGAAUAAGUAAACAUUACUCAAAAGGACGCGAUAUGGAAAAGAACUAAACAGAGGAAGAGAAACAUCUGACUGAGAGACUCGACAAAGAUGGAAAAAGAUCCAGGAAGAUCAGUGAGCAACUAAAAACCAGUGAAGCACAGAGUCAGCAGGAAUCAGGAGGUCUAGAAGGAGUCAUAGUACCACUAAUCAGGAGGUAUAGAAGGAGUCAUAGUACCACUAAUCAGAAGGUCUAGAAGAAGUCAUAGUACCACUAAUCAGGAGGUCUAGAAGGAGUCAUAGUUCCACUAAUCAGGAGGUCUAGAAGGAGUCAUAGUUCCACUAAUCAGGAGGUCUAGAAGGAGUCAUAGUACCACUAAUCUGAGGUCUAGAAGGAGUCAUAGUUCCACUAAUCAGAAAGUCUAGAAGGAGUCAUAGUUCCACUAAUCAGGAGAUCUAGAAGGAGUCGUAGUUCCACUAAUCAGGAGGUCUAGAAGGAGUCGUAGUUCCACUAAUCAGGAGGUCUAGAAGGAGUCGUAGUUCCACUAAUCAGGAGGUCUAGAAGGAGUCAUAGUUCCACUAAUCAGGAGGUCUAGAAGGAGUCAUUGUUCCACUAAUCAGGAGGUCUAGAAGGAGUCAUAGUACCACUAAUCUGAGGUCUAGAAGGAGUCAUAGUUCCACUAAUCAGAAAGUCUAGAAGGAGUCAUAGUUCCACUAAUCAGGAGGUCUAGAAGGAGUCGUAGUUCCACUAAUCAGGAGGUCUAGAAGGAGUCGUAGUUCCACUAAUCAGGAAGUCUAGAAGGAGUCAUAGUACCACUAAUCAGGAGGUCUAGAAGGAGUCAUAGUUCCACUAAUCAGGAGGUCUAGAAGGAGUCGUAGUUCCACUAAUCAGGAGGUCUAGAAGGAGUCGUAGUUCCACUAAUCAGGAAGUCUAGAAGGAGUCAUAGUUCCACUAAUCAGGAGGUCUAGAAGGAGUCAUAGUUCCACUAAUCAGGAGGUCUAGAAGGAGUCAUAGUACCACUAAUCUGAGGUCUAGAAGGAGUCAUAGUUCCACUAAUCAGAAAGUCUAGAAGGAGUCAUAGUUCCACUAAUCAGGAGGUCUAGAAGGAGUCGUAGUUCCACUAAUCAGGAGGUCUAGAAGGAGUCGUAGUUCCACUAAUCAGGAAGUCUAGAAGGAGUCAUAGUUCCACUAAUCAGGAGGUCUAGAAGGAGUCAUAGUUCCACUAAUCAGAGCUCCUAAAAUGACUCCACAGACAGUGAACUACUUUCUCCAUCCAGCUGUAAAAACAGACAGCAGCUGCUUCAGACUUGGCUCAGGGGUUCUCCGUGGAAACCAGAGUUAGUGUGAAGCUCAGACAGUGUGAAGGAACCUUCAGAACAUCAACCUCUAUGGACGGAGGACCAGAACUAAACCUGGUUGCUGCUCAGAACUAAACUUCCAGAUGAAAGUUUGCUGAAGAACAUGAGAAGAAGCCUGAUGGAUGUUGGAGAACAUUCUUUGGUCAGAUGAAGAUCAAUGAGUUGGGCUCAGAUGGAGUCAAGAUGUUUGGUGAGAACCUGACCAGGACUACCACAGUAGAUGCAUAGUCCUGACAGUGAGGAGGAUUUUGUGUCUCUUUGUUGUUCUUCAUCAGUAAAUUGUCCUAAGGUUGUGUAGAAUUUAUCUCCUGGUUCUUGUAUCUCACUGAUAAUUAAUUUCUUCUUGUUUCCUCCAGUGGUUUCCAAGCCGUGGGUCGUGUCCCUGUGAAGGGUCACCAGAUCUGAAGUGUUUCUUUCCUUGUCUAAUCCGCCGGGUCGUCCUGAGGAGGGACGGGUUAAUGCAGGAGGCGACGCCGCCGAGCGGAACAAUUCGAGAUGUACGCCGCCUCGCCGUCCAAGACUCACAUCAUUACUGAGAGCCGAGCCGAGGCCGAUUAAUCCGCCUCCGACUAAUCCGUCCCUCUGUGAUCAGAAUCUGGUGAUUGGUUCAAACGUCGGAUCAGAGCAGCAGGUUGACGGAGACGGAGAGACGGAGAGACGGAGACGAGAUUUCGACGUCCAUGGAUGUUCACGUCUCUGAGAGGAAAGAUUCUGAUUCAUGUUUAAAUAAAACACUUCAGACAUGAAACAGAAAAACAGCAGACACACAACAACACAACAACACAGACUCACACAGCCGGUUUCCGUGUCGCUAACGUGUCACUUCCUGUUCGUUUUGUUCUGAUUGUUUCGUGUCUUUGUGGUGAACUUUUGUCUCUUUUUGUCUCAUUGUCCCCUUCAUUCUUUUUCGUCACCAGCUUUAUGUCAAUUAUUGUCUCUUUAUCAUUGUUUUUUAAAUCUUUCUCUAACUUUCUACUUAUUCUUCUAUUUGUCAUCAACUUUUGUCUCUAUCUGGUCAUUUUUGUCUCUUUUAGGUCAACUUUCGUCUCUUUGCGGUAAUUUUUUGUGUCUAUAUGAUCAUGUUUUUCUCUCAUGGUGUCCAGUUUUUGUGUCUUUUGUGUCCAAAGUGUGUCUUUCUGGCCAUCUUUUGUUUCUUUUCAGUCAACUUUUGUCUCUUUGUGCUAAUUUUUUGACUUUUUAUGAUCAUGUUUUUGUCUCAUGGUGUCCAGUUUUUGUAUCUUUAGUGUCCAAAGUGUCUUUUUCAGGUCAUUUUCUAUCUUUUUGCAUCUUUAGUCAUUUUUGUGUUUUUGUGUGCAACUUGUGUUUCUUUUUAGUCAUUUUUGUGGUUGUCUUCCGUCUCAUUUUGUGCGUCGCUGUAGUUGGUUUGUGGUCAGUUGUGUUUCCCAUUUUUGUCUUUUUUUAGCCAACUUUUGUCUCUUUGUGGUAAUUUUUUGUGUCUUUAUGAUCAUGUUUUUGUCUCAUGGGGUCCAAUUUUUGUGUCUUUUGUGUCCAAAAUGUCUUUGUAGUCAUUUUUUUGUGGUUAUCUUUCGUCUCAUUUGUCUCCAGACAUUUUGUGUAGUUGGUUUGUGGUUGGUUGUGUAAUUCUUUGAUCCUUUAUUGGACCCACAACUGUCUUUACAUUCGUCCAAACACAAACUAACCGUCCUUAAACUAAACUGACUCCUGGGUCAGUUUUUGAGUUCAUUUAGAGUUUUGUUGCAUUUUUACUCCAGUUAUGAACAUUUAAUGGUUAAACACUGGGAAUAAAAGUGGAUUUUUAAUUAGAAACAUGAAGGCCGUGAAGGAACUUUGAUGAAUUCUGAGUUCCAGUCAGAAGACUUUCCAUCUUGAUGUUUAUCUUCAGCCGCUGCAGUUUCCUGAUAAUUUCCUAAAAAUGACAAAUAAUAAUUCCCUCUGGAGGAAAAACAAUUAAAGCCGCUGAGACGCUGCAGAACGGAGUGUCAGCCGGUAAAUUAAUAUUUGUGGAAGCAGAAAAUAAAGCGGCCGUGAGGAGUUUAGCAGCGUCUCCAUCCAUCAGCAGCUAAUUCAGAAAAACAGCCAUAAUUUAAGUCGUCCUCCAGAAUCCAUCAACAUGAAGAAUCCAGCAGCUCCUCAGCGAUCAGCAGCCAUGAGUAAACACAGAACGCUGGAUCGGCACUUUAGCCACCGCUAUUAACCGCCAGUUAUUUAUUUCUCUGUUAUUAACGCUGGACGGGAUAUUAUUCUAAUUACAACCGACCAAUGAGCAGCCGCCGCCGCUGCAGCCUCGUUCCAUCAGCGAGACUUUCACACCAUGACGCUGAUUCAACGAGACACCAGAGUAGCUGCAGAGGUCAGGGAGUCUCCGUCUGGAACUGGCCAAUCAGAGGACAGCACCGGCCAAUCAGAGGAGACAUAUAUCCAAUUAGGGGGCCACAUCAACGGUUUCGCAAUCGUAGUUUAGCAUAUUAACAUGCUAGCAUCAGCUAGUUUGACUGUAUUAAUCUUAUUGGUUGCUCAAUUUUAUUUUAGUGUAUUAGCAUGCUAGCAUCAGCUAAUUAGCAUGCAUAAUACUAAUCCUGGUCUUUAUCUUAAUUUAGCACCUUAGCAUGCUAGCAUCAGCUAAUAGGCAUACAGACUGUGUGCUUGAUUUUUGUUUGGCAUAUUAGCACACUACUAUCAGCUAAUUACACUGUAUAAUAUUUAUUGGUUUCCCAGUCUUAGUUUAGUAUAUUAGCAUGCUAACAUUAAUUAGUUAGAAUAUAAUGCUUACUGGCUUCCCAAUCUUAGCUUAGCAUAUUAGCAUGUUAACAUCCGCUUAUGAGCAUACAUGACACUUAGCCUGGUCCUCAUCUUAAAUUUAGCAUCUUAGCAUGCUAGCCUCAGCUAAAAUGCAUAUAGAAUGCUUAUUGUUUCUUGAACUUAGCUUAGCAAAUUAGCACACUAGCAUCAACUAAUUUGACUGUAUAAUAUUUAUUGGUUUCCCAGUUUUAGUUUAGCAUAUUAGCUAUUAGCAUGCUAACAUCAGCUAAUAAGCAUACAGAAUGCUUCUUCCUGAUCUUAGUUGGUUUCCCAAUUUUAGUUUAACGUAUUAGCAUGCUAACAUCAGCUAAUUAGCAUGUAUGACCCUUAUCCUGGUCCUCAUCUUAAUUUAACAUCUUAGCAUGCUAGCAUCAGCUAAUAGGCAUACAGUAAGCUUAAUAUAUUCUUGAUCUUAGUUUAGCAUACUAGCACGCCAACAUCAGCUAAUUGGCAUGGAUAAUGCUUAGUUUAGCAUACUAGCAUGCCGACAUCAGCUAAUUAGCACGCAUAAUGCUUAUUCUGUUCCUAGUCAAUUUAGCAUCUUUGCAUGCUAGCAUCAGCUCGUAAGCAUACAGAAUGCUUAUUGUAUUCUCAUUCUUAGUUUGGCAUAUUAGCAUGCUAACAUUAGCAAAUUAGACCGUAAAAUAUGUAUUGGUUUCCCAAUCUUAGUUUAGCGCAUUAGCACACUAGCAUCAGCUAAUUAGACUGUAUAAAACUUUUUAGUUUCCCAGUCUCAAUUUAGCAUAUUAGCAUGCUAAUAUUGGCUAAUUAGCAUAACAGUUUAGGCUAACAAGAAGACAGUUCAUCCUCUGGGGAACACAAGCACCUGCAGAAGUUAGUUCAUGUUGGCACAAGAGAAAAACUCGACCAGAGUCGGUGGUUUUCAUUCUCUGGGGCUCAUGAAUGAGGAAACGAAAUAUUGUGGAGAUGAUCCAGUAGUUGCUGAACUAAAUGUUGUGGAGAUGAUCCAGUAGUUGUUGCACUAAAUGUUGUGGAGAUGAUCCAGUAGUUGUUGACGUAUUUUCAUAUGACUAGCUGCUAACGUGGCAAAAAUGAGGCCGUUAGCUUCGGUUUGACGCCUCAAAUCUAAACUCAUAAAAUGAGGAUGUUGAGUCGUCAUAAGUGCUGUUUGACAGUUUAUAGAGAGGAGGAGGAGGAGGAGGAGGUCUGAUAAUAGGAUUUAAUUUAUCACCUAAAGUACCCGUCGACCUCUGAACGUCCCGACGCCUCCAUCACCUCCUCAGCUGCUCCCGUUAAUUGUUGGAGCUCAGAGAGGAAAAUGGAAAUCAGCCCGAGUCAUAAUGAAUGGAGGGAGGACAUCACUCUGCUGCUGCUGAUGCAACACACACACAGAAAUACACACUAAAAUACACACAUAUAGAUAUAUAGCAUAUAGAAACACACUAGCACACACCACAUUAGUACUCGAUUACUUUGCAGUUACUGCAGCAGAUA